AGUGAGGCUUGUAGGAGCUCGCGCGGAGGAGAGCGGCUCCCUGGCGCGGCGCGGCGCAGCAGCGUGUAGUGUUUGCGGAGAAGUAGCUGCGGUUUCUCCUCAGCGCUGUUUUCUAUCCUCCGUGACUAGUUUUUACGGGAACAAGAAGUCAGUUUGGCUUGUGCAAGAAGUUAGACGGGGCUGAGGAAGGACAGGUAACGUAGCCGGGCGUGCCUCUUUGGCGCUAAGGUACCUGACCGGGGCAGCCGGACAGGUUUUCUUCGGAUCCGCACAAGGAAAGCGAGGAAGCCGCCUUGGGGAGCUGAUUUUGGAUGUCGUUGAAAGGCAGCACAUUGUUGGCUAUUUAAUUAAUCAUUUGCAUUUUCCUUGUUAAGCAAGAGGGAGAAGAGCUUGCGGGAUGUUUUUGUUUCUGGAUGCUAUUUUAUUAAAAUACAAGUUUGGGUUCUUUACCCCCACUCCCCCAAAUGCUUGUGUUGGAUGUUUGACUUAAGUAGGAAUGUAGUUAUUUUUAAAAGGUGGGUUUAAAGCAUACUUGUUAGGCUGCAACAGGAGACAGGCGUACUUCAUGACAAUAUUCAUAACUCUGAGUUGGUAGUCACACCCCUUCUAAGACUACAGAACAAAAAUGUAUUUUUUACUUAUGUGGACAUUAUGGCUUCAAUACCAAACUAGCUUUUUUUGCUUACUCAAAAGUCUGCUCACUAUUUUGUAAUACUUUAUCUUAUAUGGUGAAUUUAUCUAUGAGAAAAGCUCACUUAUUUAUUUGGUAUAUAGACUGUGAUAAAUAAUGCUGCAGUAGAUAUCAUCCUUGCUGUGAAAUAAGUGGUGGAUCCCUUCCUGGCUCUGCCACUCCACUGUUGAGUGAAAUGCUUUCUCUGUGACCACAAAACAAAGUUCUCCUUUUACUCUCCCACUUAAGUUUAGCAUGCCUGAAGUUUAAUGGAAGAGUAUGUGUUUUAUGUGCAGGAGUUCCUGGAAUCUGCAGCUUCAGUUAAGAGCCUGUGAAAGCUGCUGCCAGUGGGAGUGGUUGGGUAAUGCUUGGCUAGAUGAACCAAUGCAGCUUUUAUGGGUGCUACUCCUGAAUCUGAUAUCCCAAGAGCGUGAAAGCAAAAUGAGAAAUUGUGAUAUUUAUAUAAAACUGUUGUGAAGUGAAAGGGUACACAAAAGACAUGGUUCAGAUGUGCCUUUCUGCCCAGGAUAUGUUCAAACUGCAGUUGCAUAUUAAUAACUUUAAGCAAAUGGACACAGCAAUUAUAUAUGUAGUGCAACUGUUUCUGUGUAUGACACUUUUGCUGUAAGAAAAAGAGCUUAAAUGAAAUGUCUUGCAGACAUGCAGCCUGGUCUUCAAGCUAAGAUCUCCCUUUGUUAUCUUUGCAUAUGAGAAGGUGACUUGCAGCUACAUCUACAGUCAUACCUCCGGUUACAGACGCUUCAGGUUGCGUUUUUUCGGGUUACAGACACACCGAAACCCGGAAGUACCAGAAUGGGUUACUUCUGGGUUUUGGCGAUCACGCAUGCACAGAAGCGCUAAAUCGUGCUUUGCACAUGUGCAGAAGCACCGAAUCGCAACCCGCACAUGUGCAGAUGCAGCACUGCAGAUUUCGAAUGCUGCGGGUUGCGAACGUGCCUCCCGCACAGAUCACUUUCGCAACCCAAGCGUCCACUGUACAUUGUAUCCUGCUGUACUGUCUUUAUUGAAAAUUCUAUCUUGACUACUGUUUAGGCUAGUCUCUCCUACUUACAAGAGUGAGUCCCAUUGAGCUUGGUGACUUCUGAGUAAACAUGCAGUGGAUUGUGCUGCUAUGCCUGGAUAAAGCAAUCCAAACAGUUGCUCCUGGACCUGCUAAGGAGGAGUGCCUCUAGACACCUACCCAAUAAUCAGAGGGAUGGAAGCCUAGGUGGCAUCCCAAAUUCCCAAAACAGAGCAUGGUGGGGAGCUGCGCCAGCACUGCUGCCCAUCAUGUGACAACAACAGGCCUGAUCCAGACCUUUUUGGUGUAGCAGCCUAGGAGCUAGCAUAACAAAGAGGCAGUUUUCCUGUCCCCUCACUUUGUCAUGUUGGCACAACCAGACGGGUUGUGGCAAUGGCUGUGCCACACUCCAUUAAGCCCUGUCAUUGCUGGCCCCUAAAUGAAGAACCUAAAAAGAAUCUGCAGGAUCAGGCCAGUGACCCAUUUAAUUCCAACAAUCUCUUCUCAAAGUAGCCAACCAGAUGGGAAGUACAUGAGCAGAGCUCAACAGCACUCUCUCCACUUUGGACGCCCAGCAAGUGGUAUUCUAGUUCUAGUGUUAUGAGGGAGAAAAACAUUUCUCUACCCACUUCUCCCACAUCACUUUAUACACUUCUGUCCUACUCUUUCUCUUAUUUACUCAAAAACCUUUCCUCAUAGGGGAGUUGCUUCAUUUCUUUAAUCAUUUUGAUUAUAAUUUUUGGAUUUUUUUCUCCCCAGCUGCACAAUAUCAUUUUUGAGAUGAGGCAACCAGAAUCGUACACAUUAUUCCAAGUGCAGGCACACAAUAGAUUUGCAUAAUGGCAUUAUGAUAUUGGCUGUUGUAUUUUCAAUUCCUUUCCUAAUGGACCCUUGCAUAGAAUCUGCCUUGUUCUCUAUUGCUGCACCCUUGGGUCAACAUCUUCACUAUGACCGCAGGGUCUUUUUCCUGGUCAGUCACCACCAGUUUAGAUCCCAUGAGAAUAUAUGUGAAAUUACGUGGAGUUUGUGCAUAGACAUCACUUUAUACUCUCUUACGUUGAAUUGUGUUUGCCAUUCUACCAACCACUCACUCUUUUUGGAGAAUAAAGGUAAAGUUUUUUUCCAAUCAUACUGACUCACAAGUGGAAAAUUUCUUUUGCAAAUCUUGGCAAAGUCUGAACCUGAAACUCUUUAAAAACAGUGUAAGUUGUUACUUGGAAUUGGUUUUCAACAGUAGAAGAUAGGAUGGUUUAAUAAAAAUUGAAGUUACGCUAAGAGCCUGUUGCUGCCUCCAACCAAUUCCCAAAGUGUGUAGUAAAGAUCACUAUAAAGUAUGAAAUAAGAUAUUUGUAGUACUGUAAUCUGAUUUAGAGCUAGACUAACUGAUUUUGUAGUAUGCAGCCUUUAGGUCAAUGCUAAGAGACUGCAUUUUAUGUAUUAACUUGGUUAGUUUAACCAGCAGUAAAGAUAAGUGGGUGGGUGCAUGCAGGCUAAGCUCAAUUUAAGAGGUUGUAAGAUCAAACCUAGGAUGUUGCUUAAAAAGGACAUUUUUCAUUUUUCAGUAGAAUGAUUUGAGCCAGUGCAAGGUUGAUAUCUAUUGGUAGUGCAGUGGAUGAGGAAUGCAGCAGUCAUUAACAGACUUCCAUCAUAAAUGGGAGGGAUCCUGCUUUGCAUGUAGACGAUCCCAAGUUCAAUCCCUAGCACAUCCCAUGAAAAGGAUCAGGUAGCAGGUAAUGGAAUAUGCAGCUGACCUGAACUCUGGAGUGCUGCUGUCAGUCAGAGUAGACUGGCUAUUAAGUCAGGACCUGCUAAGGGGUUGCAGCCUGACUAAGCUGGGUGACAACAGUAGUACUGCCACAAUACAAAUGUAUGGAAGGGGGAAGACUUGACUUCAUCAGCUGCUCAGCCUCACUCCCUUGCCUUAGUGGAAACUACUACCUGGGAACAGCCAUCAAAGGAAGACUUGUGUUUGGCAACAGCAGAGAAGACCAAGAAAGGCUGCCUUAAUAAGCCUGGUGACAUGUUAUUUCUGAUUAUAUGUGCAAAUCUUUUUUGAAUGUGAACCUCUUGUAAAUUGUUUUGAGAGCCUCUUGGACCUAUAAAAAACCAGGAUGGUUGAAGACUUCUGGAGAUAGACAACUAGUUUUGCCUGACAGAAUGCAGCUUCCUACGUUCGUGUGAUCAGUGGUGACAACAGAUCAUACGAUAGACUCAAUCAGCCAAGAAUUUCAGGUUUGCUUCGUUCAUAUCUACAUCGUAUCUUGACACCCACCCAUUCCCAGAUAGACAUUCGCACUAGUCCAGAGAACUCUGAUUGCAACAGAUAAUUGCCAUACCCAAGGAGCUCUACUCCCCAAAAUGUAAUUUGAAGAAUUUGAGAACAGCACCAGUUAUCUUAAGAGGUGUGGUAGAGAGGAUGCACCUAGACCAAAUCUGGGCGUCUUAUUCACACAUGCCCUAACAGGUGUGCACAAAAUGGGUGGCUUGUGAAGUGGUGAGUGACUUUUGCUCUAGGUAGAAAGCACAUGGAGUGACACAAUUGUGGUUUAAAUAUGUCAGACCUACUGCUGUAGUGCAGUAGUGCCAAGGCAGGUACACAAAGACCUGGUCAUACAGUUGCUCCUAAAUCAGCUGAACUGACCUUGCCUUCCCCACCUUGCAAUAUUUUGGAAUUAUACAUUUUUGCCCCCCACUCCUUCUCUCCUAUCUUUCCUUGUGGAGACCAUUUGUUUUAUGUUUUCAAUAUUAAGGUUUUAUAAUGGAAUUACUGCACUUAAGGCAUUAGGCAAAAGGUAAGAUAUAAAUCUU